rnacentral:rRNA from 1 species
AACGAACGCUGGCGGCAGGCUUAACACAUGCAAGUCGAACGCGUGUAGCAAUACACGAGUGGCGCACGGGUGAGUAACGCGUGGAUAUCUGCCUUUGGUUCGGAAUAACCCCGGGAAACUGGGGCUAAUACCGGAUGGUUCCUACGGGAUAAAGAUUUAUCGCCAAAAGAUGAGUCCGCGUACGAUUAGCUAGUUGGUGAGGUAAUGGCUCACCAAGGCGACGAUCGUUAGCUGGUCUGAGAGGACGAUCAGCCACACUGGGACUGAGACACGGCCCAGACUCCUACGGGAGGCAGCAGUGGGGAAUAUUGGACAAUGGGGGCAACCCUGAUCCAGCCAUGCCGCGUGAGUGAUGAAGGCCUUCGGGUUGUAAAGCUCUUUUGGC